GAAAUUUUGGGAUGAAAGGGGGAAAUGAGGAAGGAUGUUCGGGUAAGGAGCGUGAGUUGGCUCAAGAUGUGGCCUCGGUCUUGUCUUCUGGUUUCCAAGGUGAUAAGGGGGGUGACCUUGAGGGUCAGGUUUGUGAUGAGGGCCAGCCAGAGGUGUCCUUAGUGGAGUGUGUGGUAAGGAGGAUGAGGGGGAGUUCAUCUCCCAAAGGAGAAGGCAGGGAAGAAAGGGUCCUGGAGAGAGAGGUAGAAGGACAGUCUCAUUAGAAAGAGAACAGAAAGGGCCGGGCGUGGCGACCAGGGGAGAAGGAAGCAGGGGUUCGUCUCCGAGACGGUUGGGAAAUAGGUUCUCUCUUUUAAGGUCAUGGGAUGAGUCACUUGUUGAGUUAGGUAAUUAUGCCUCCUCUUGCCCCCCUCAAUAAUACCGGGUGCUUCCUAAUGGUGACUUUGAUUCUGAGGUUUAUGAAGACGAAAUGGAUUGGGACAUGGAUGAUGAUCCAGAUGGGGACCCUGGGACUUCUCGGAGGAGCAUCCUAGAUAAGAGAGGUUCGGUCCCUGAGCGUGUAAAGGGGCAGGAUGAUUCCAACAAACCAAAAAAGAAAGUUUGGGUUGCAAUAUAAAGGUGUUAACAGUAAUGGACAGAUCUGGAUGUUCGCUGAUCAGGGGAUUGAGGUGGAUGAAUGGGAUGAUUCGGAGCAAAUUCUUCAUGCUCGUUGUGUCUCAACAAUGUUACCAACUCCGUUCUUUAUCUCAGUGGCUUACGGAAAAUGCUCUAGAGUGGGAAGAAUUCUGAUGUGGAACAAACUCAGUAAUUUAGCUGCGAGAAUGGACAUGCUCCCGUGGCUUGUGGGAGGAGACUUUAACAUUUUUGUGUCGGAAGAUGAAGGACAAGGUAGUAGUAAUAACAGAACGAGGGAAAUGCUGGAAUUUGCGGAAACAAUAUGCGACUGCCAGUUAUUGGAUGUAGGGGCAGAUGGACCGAGGUUCACUUGGUCGAGAGGAGAGAUCUUUGAGAAGCUUGAUAGAGUCCUUCUUAGUGAGGGGUGGGCAAAUUUGUUCGAAGCAACUAGAGUAUCUAAUCUGCUGAGAAUCCUAUCGGAUCAUUGUCCACUUCUUAGUGAGGGGUGGGCAAGUUGCCCCCAUUCCGGUUUCAGAAUAUAUGUGUAAGGCACCACACAUAUUCUGGAAAGAGCAAGGCCACCAUUCCUGAAUUGAAGCUGGAAAGAGAGUACAGGGACAUUUGGGUUGGUUAAUGUUCAGAUAAAACUUAGCAGGUUGAAGAAAUGCUUGAAAAUCUGGAACAGAAUGGUGUUUGGAAAUAUUUUUGACAAUCUUAAGAAGACUGAGAUGGAAGCUCAAGAUGCUAUUCUGAAUUAUGAGCAGGACCCUUCUCCCCUAUCAAUAAUGGAAAUGCACAGAACAGCAGCUGAAUACCUGCUUCGACUAAAAAUGGAGGAAGGUUUCUGGCAACAAAAAGCGGAGGUGAAAUGGCUGGCAGAAGGCGAAAGAAAUUCUAAAUUCUUUCAAGGAUGGGUUAAACAAAGAAGAACAAAGGCAAGAAUCCACAUGAUAGAGGAUGAUAAUGGAAUCCUUACUGAGGAGGGCCCUUGAGAGGACUCCGUCUGAGGAAGAGAUCAGGAAGGUUGUAUUUGAAAUAAAGGCUGAUAGUGCAUCGGGUCCAGAUGGUUACUCUGCCCUUUUCUUUCAGGCUUGUUGUGAGAUAGUGAGGAAAGAUGUUGAGGCAGUGGCUGAUUUCUUCGCUGGGGCUAGCAUACCAAGAGGAAUUGCAAUGAACAUGAUUGUGCUUAUUCCUAAAAAGAAGAAUCCCUCUAAGUGGUCGGAAUUCAGACCAAUAAGCUUGUGUAAUGUGAUGAAUAAGAUUAUCUCCAAGCUUCUCUCCUCAAGAAUGGCUCCAUUGGUGCCAAUGGUUACAGUUCCGAAUCAAUGCGGCUUCAUUAAAGGGAGAUUGAUUAGUGAUAAUGUACUUCUGGCUAAAGAACUUUUUCAUGAAGUUUGGAAGGGACCACAACCCCUAAUAUGGUGUUGAAGUUAGAUAUGGAGAAAGCUUAUGACAAAGUUCGAUGGCUGUUUCUAAUAAAGAUCAUGAAGAAGAUGAGUUUUUCAGAUAAGUGGGUGUCUUUCAUCGAGCGGUGCAUUUCUUCGUGCUGGUUUUAUAUUCUAAUUAAUGGCUGUCUAGCCGGGUUUUUAAAAUCUACUUGUGGUUUGAGACAAGGUGAUCCCAUUUCCCCCACGCUGUUUAUUUUGGCGGCAGACUACUUAUCGAGACUCUUGGACCGGCUUUUUCUGGGAAAAGAGGAUAUGAUGUAUCGAACAACAAUGUAUUCCUUUGGUGUUUCCCACUUGGCAUAUGCAGAUGAUAUUAUAAUUUUUUCGCAGGCCCAGAGGUCGGCCAUUUUGAAGAUCUCAGAGUGUCUUAAUCACUAUAUGGCGGUCUCGGAGCAGAGGGUAAAUGUGGGAAAAAGCUGCUUCUUUGUAGAUGAGAAAUUUGAUUCUUGGGUUGCAGAGAUUACAGAGGCUAGUGGGUAUCAGCAGGGGAGGUUACCUUUUACCUAUUUAGGAGUCCCGGUCUAUCGAGGCCGCAAACGUACUAACUUGUUUAUGUUCAUCCGAGACAGAAUCUCAGAGAGAAUUCACAGCUGGAGCCAUAGGCAGUUAUCCUUUGGGGGCCAGCUGACCUUGAUAAAAAAAUGUCCUUGGAGCAAUCCUGAUCCAUAUUUUUCAGGCUUUGGAGCCUACAAGGGGGGCCAUGAAGAAGAUUGAACAGGUCCUUGCGAGGUUUCUUUGGGGCUCGUGCUACACGGCAAACAAAACUCACUGGAUCAAAUAGGAGAGAGUUUGCUUGCCAACAGAGGAGGGAGGCCUCGGACUCAGACGUUUGGCAGAUGUAGUUGAGGCCUUCAGUAACAAGAUGUGGUGGAAAUUCCCAGGAAUCCCUUUGGGCAAGCUAUAUGAGGUGUAAAUAUUUCUCUAUCUUCUUCCCACCGGUGCUGACUAAGUCUAAAAGGUUUAUCCCGAUGUGGAGAAGAAUGUGUAAGGCAGGUCAGAAAACUCGUGGUUUUGUUAGAUGGGUUCUAGGUGAGGGGAGGAUCUGUUUCUGGUAUGAUACAUGGCUCUCGGAGGUUCCUUUAGUAAACUACGUGGGGGAGGGAGUAGCUUUGCAGCCACAAAAGGUGAGUGAUUUCUGGUGUGGAGAGCAGUGGGAUGAGGAGGAGCUUUUGCGUUUGAACGAGGAGUGGGGCAUGCCGCCUGAGGUGAUAGAGCAGAUCCUGCAGAUUCCUUUUGACAGAAGGGAGAAGGACAGAGGGAGAUGGGCUCUCACGCCUAGUGGGAACUUCUCGGUUGCUUCGGCAUGGAAUUUGGUUAGUUGUAGAGUGGAGAAAAAGGAGGUGCAUAAGUCUAUUUGGAACAAGUGCAUUUUGCCAACAAUUUCUGUCUUUCUGUGGAGGCUUCUGGCCAACAGAGUUCCAAUUGAUGUGAAACUCCAAUGGAGGGGAGUCUCCUUGGCCUCGAAGUGCAGAUGUUGUAAUAAGCCGAAUGAGGAGUCAGGAUUGCACCUGUUCGUUAAUGGUGAUGCAGCAAAAAGGGUGUGGAGACGGUGUCAAUAUUGAUGGCCGACUUCGAUGGUGGCAUAAAUACUCGCAUCCCCGACAGAAAAACCAUGUUUGUCUCAUUGUGCCUUGUCUCGUAUUCUGGUUUAUUUGAUUUGGACGAAAAGAAACGAUUGUGUUCAUAGAGAGAAGAAAUUUUUGGUGGAAAAUGUGAUUAGGAAGGUGGAAAACUAUUUAAGAAACCUGGUGCUGUCAAAAGUUAUAUGGCCAGAUCAGUGGGAAGAUAGCUGCCCAGGGGAAGAGUUUGUCAACUUCUUCAGGUAGGGGAAGGUUCAGUGGAGACCGCCUGACCCUGGCUGAAUAAAAGUGAAUACGGAUGGUGCCUUUCAACCUUCAUCUCGGACUGUGGGGGGGGAGUGGUGGGUAACCAGUUUGGGGAUAUUGUGGUGGCCUUUGUAGCGAAUAUAGGGGUGGCUUCGGGGCUGGAGGCAGAAAUGGCAGCGAUAUUGAUGGGAAUCUCUAUUGCCAAACAACACAGAAAUCACAUUUGGCUGGAAACAGAUGCGGAGUUGAUUGUGGGUUCGAUCAAUUCCUCGCAGCUUGGUGCAGACAAUGUGCGACAUACUUUGGUAAGGAUUAGAGCAGAAUUGCGGAGCAUUAGAUGGAGAGUGUCUUACAUUCCAAGAGAAGAAAAUAUGGCGGCUGAUUUUUUGGUAAACUUUGGAGAGGAAUAUCGGAUAUGCGGAUUUUCAACAAGGAUUCUGUGCCUGCAAGGGCAGAAGCUUUUUGUAGUUUGGAUAGUAUAGGGAUGCCUAGCUUCAGGGUUUGAUAGUUUUUUGUUUUCUUGGAUGGUUGUUGUUUGGUGUUUCUUUGUUUUUUGCCAAAGAUGAUCCACUUUUGGGAGAGUCCUUUGUAAA